rnacentral:rRNA from 1 species
UACGGGGGGGGGCAAGCGUUGUUCGGAAUUACUGGGCGUAAAGGGCUCGUAGGCGGCCAACUAAGUCAGACGUGAAAUCCCUCGGCUUAACCGGGGAACUGCGUCUGAUACUGGAUGGCUUGAGGUUGGGAGAGGGAUGCGGAAUUCCAGGUGUAGCGGUGAAAUGCGUAGAUAUCUGGAGGAACACCGGUGGCGAAGGCAGCUCGCUGGGACGUGACUGACGCUGAGACGCGAAAGCGUGGGGAGCAAACAGG